rnacentral:tRNA from 1 species
GCAGAUAUGGCCGAGUGGUUAAGGCGACUGACUCGAAAUCAGUUUCCAUCUUGGAGCAUAGGUUCGAAUCCUACUAUCUGCG